CGCUCCCGUAACCAAACACAAAACCGGCCGGGGACAGGAACGGGAUAUUGGGGAAUGCCCGGAUUUGCCUCAAUUAGCCAAACACCUGGGCGGUGCUGCCUGGAGGCACUUGCAAAGGAAGAGAUCAGGAGAUAUCCGGCUGCUAUCACGGUCUAACAGAAGCACUCGAUGUUCUGAAUGCUGGAUGAUUGUGUUUCAGUAGUCGGAGAGCCUGGAGAGCUGAAGCUGAAAUGGAGGCACAGGUGUGCUGUCACCAGCAAAAUGAUUGCUCUGUGCAGAAAAUCUCCAGCUGACGUUACCCAGACCAAUAGAAAUCUUUCUGGCUCAAAGUCAUGCAUGACACAAAAUUCAUUGUGGAUUGCUUCUAUGACUGUUGUCAGCGUGGAAUUCCUUCUCAGAAUGGACCCAACCUGUAUUUGGAGAGAAUUAAAUGAAGUCAUUAUAGAUGGUGAAACAGACCUAGCAAUGAAAGUGUUAUGAGAACAUGACAAGAAAUUGCUCCUGUCACAUGGUGGUUGUGAAAGUUAAUGCACAGAAAGAAGAAAGUGAUGAAAGAGUAAAGGUUUAGAUUUGUUAUGCUGGCUAGAAAAUAAAUGCAAUAAGUUUGUAGUAUAAUUGGGAAUAAAACCCGAGUAUUUUGGUGCCCAGUUCUGCUCUCUGUUUGCUGGCAAUGACUAAUUUGAAUUUUGGCACUCUAAGAAAGGUG